AUACCACUUGUUGCCUCGGCGGAUCAGCCCGCUCCCGGUAAAACGGGACGGCCCGCCAGAGGACCCCUAAACUCUGUUUCUAUAUGUAACUUCUGAGUAAAACCAUAAAUAAAUCAAAACUUUCAACAACGGAUCUCUUGGUUCUGGCAUCGAUGAAGAACGCAGCAAAAUGCGAUAAGUAAUGUGAAUUGCAGAAUUCAGUGAAUCAUCGAAUCUUUGAACGCACAUUGCGCCCGCCAGUAUUCUGGCGGGCAUGCCUGUUCGAGCGUCAUUUCAACCCUCAAGCACAGCUUGGUGUUGGGACUCGCGUUAAUUUCGCGUUCCCCAAAUUGAUUGGCGGUCACGUCGAGCUUCCAUAGCGUAGUAGUAAAACCCUCGUUACUGGUAAUCGUCGCGGCCACGCCGUUAAACCCCAACUUCUGAAUGUUGACCUCGGAUCAGGUAGGAAUACCCGCUGAACUUAAGCAUAUCAA
rnacentral:rRNA from 1 species